rnacentral:piRNA from 1 species
UGGUUUAUCUUGUCCUGUAGUUUCUC